UUUAGGUAGACUGGUUCCAAAUAGAAUCAGGUAGGUUUUGUGGUUUGUUUGUGUUUAUGCAGGCAUGAAACGAAAAUUCAACGGUAUGUGUGAGUCGUGUUUUACGUUUACACCGGAUGUUACUGGAUGUGUUUUGCUGUCUUGUUCAAUCAAUGUUGUUGAAACAAUGUUACAUCAGGCAUUAGGAAAAAUAAAAUAAAUAAAUGUAAUAAAGUGACUGGGGUUUUGUGGCCAACAGGAACGACAUUGUCGGUUCGGUAUAGCUCUGAAUAAAAAGCGGCAUUUAUGGGUCUGAUGAUUAUGUAUGCUAACCAAAAGUUACCUGCAAAUUAUUGAUGAAUCGGUUGUUGAAUUUAAUCUGAUAUCUCGAUAGCACCAGACAGAUUGCUGAAUCAAUUUCCGGAUGUUUUGAUGUGGAACGGUGCGGACACUUUUUGAAAAGAUCCAUACGUAAUAUUAAAUAAUUUUAUUAUACAGAAAUUGGUAUUUAUCGUUAUAAAAAUAGUAUAAUAGCUAUUUUAGACGCUUUAUCAGAAUAUCGGUUUUGAACAGAGUUACAAAUAAUCGAAGCUCUAUUUUGACGGCUGAAAAUGAACCUGAUGCGACUCGCGGUGAAUAGAAAAAAUAUUCAUUCAAAUAUCCAUGUUAAUCAUUCAGUUGAAUAUCGUACAAUAUAUUCAUUUCACUAAUUAUCAAGGAAAAUGUUUUCAAAUGCCGGUAAAGCAUAUGAAACAACAAUCAUCAUCGCUAACAUUGUACCAGGGCCUACUUUGAUGCGUUUGAUUCGUUGCUGAACGGUCGCUUCAUGUAAUAAUCGGAGACGAAUGAAAAUCUGCAUGGAUGAAUGGGCGGUUUGUUCGUUUGACGUUUUCAGCUGCGUCACUGAAUAUUGAAAAUAAAUGUGGCUGAAUAUGAUCAAUUUUCAUUCAAUGAAUUUGAAUAUCUUUAACUCUGGUUUUGAAAUUAAAAAUCGAUAUAAAUACCAAUAAAACGGUAUAUCUGGCGACGCUGCACAUGAGAAUAACACCAUCAGUAACCUUUCACCAACACAUCCAAUCAUGCGGUAUAGAACCGGCAUUUAAACAGACAGAAAAAUAUCAACGAUAAUUUGGCAAUAAAAUGCAUGUUUUACAGAAAGAACCAAAGCAUUCCUGACAGUACUUUCAAACAAGAUGGAUCUCAACAUUUUACCGCCGGAAUUGAUGUGGAAUGUCUUGAAACUGGAUGCUGUUUAGUACGGCCGAAUCGUUACGAGAUGUAAACAUUGGAAAGUCAGCUGGCUGGAACAGCUGGAAACCAAAGAGCAGUUCGGACAUAUGUUCGAUGUGAUGAUGAGGAUUCUUUUCUUAUGUUUAGGGUGCAGAUGUGUCGCGUUUCUAGCGAGAGCCAACCUUUCACCAUAAUUUGAAGCGAGGUGAAUUGUGGAAAAAUUUAGAACUGCUAGCGGGUUUGGAGGAGCUUGUUAUUUCAGGAGGAAUUUACUAUGACGAUUUGAAUCAAGAUUCACACAUUUGGGAGCUGAACCUUCUGUAAAAACUGACGCUAGAUCUCCCAGACGUCGCCACAACUCAAUUCUUUAGCCAGCAACUUAAGUGCAAGUAGGGUUUCAAAACCACUUUUCCUUGAAAAAGGUUGGGUCAAGAAACACGAAAAGCCUAUUUUCAUAAAGAUAGGUGCUUCCAUGGCAGUGCUAGAAGCUGGUAAAUUUUUACCUUUUACCUUCAAUACAAUUCUCCUAGUAUAAUUACAAUAGUCCAAUUACGUGGAAAACGUAGCCAACGACACACAGAGGAGUAACUAGAACAAAUUCCUGGCCAAUAACCAAAAUAUUUUUUUUCGAUUUUCUCCGUUAUACAUAUUACGUUAUACGUUUACAUACCUAAAAACCUGUUGAAUAACGUGGCAAAAUUAGGAGUAUAAAAAAAAAAUUAAGAUUUUUUGCAUGGAUGAAAAAUAGUGAUAUAUUAAGUGAUGAUGACUGCAUUAAGUAUGACAAUAGUAUUACAAAUGUAUUUGAACACAGCCAUUUGUAUAACUUUAGGUUAAAACCGACUGAAAAUAGUAGUGUUGCUGUGCAUUGCACCAACUUUAAAGUUUACUUUUUUUUAAACAUUUCAUUCCAAACUUGAAUGAAUAAAAAGGUUACAUUAUACGGCGAGAUCCGCCAAAGUUGCUGUAGAAGUAUUACGAAACCAGAUUCCAGCUAUCCGAAAAACAUUCGAACUCUUCCGAUCUUGUCCGAUCUACAAAUUCCAAGCGAUUUGAAAAUAUUGAAAUUUUUAGUAAUUUAGUAAGAGUAUCGUGAAGACGAAC